GUGUGAUUAAUAUGAAUCUCCUACCCAAAUUGCCACAAUUUUUUCUGAAAUUAAACCAGAAAAAGUUGCAUUUCCUCUGUCACUUAGCUAAAUUGGUUCUUGUCUCAACAAGAGAUGUGGUGAGAGAAAAACAUGCAGUGUGCCUUGGCUGCAGCAGCUGGACCCACCACAACAACUUGAAAAUGUCAACGGUGCAGCAGGAAAGGGAUCUCAUGCAGCGGAGACGGAGGGCGCUAAACCCUAGGCUGGUUUCACUACAUGGGGGAAAUUCCCAGACAGCUUCAGCUGACAGAGCUGUGACGACACGCCCACCAAGCCCGGAUGAAAAGUGAGGCCGAGCAACAGAAUGCUGACCUUGAUAACUCUGCAUUAACAGUGCAGGGCAGUGACGGACCAACGCAGAGCAGAGAAAAGGGCGUGCCAGAGACAGAAGGAGCAACUGAGGUCAAAAGGCACCUCAGAACAGACAAACACAGAAGAAGAUCUAGGUUUCACCUGCGGCGAGCAUGGGCACUGGAGAAAGGACUGCACCAACUGGGGUCAGAACCAGGACGGACUGAACUUUGAACAGCAGCAGCAAUGGACGCAAACAGACUGAAGAGGAGGGCAGGACCCCUAUCAGCAAUAUCUGGAGCAGGAGGACAAGAGAGACCAGAGGGGGAGACGGUAGCUUCCCAAGAGAGGUGGAGCUGCAGACUGAACCCUUUAGAUGCUAAUUUAGAGUUACUGAUGUUUGCUUUAAGAAAACUGUGUUUAAUUGGCUGUGUUUUGAUGAGAGUAUCAUCUCAUAUUGUCGGGAAUGCCAAAUGCAAGAGUGGAGAAAACUUUUCAUAUCACUCAUGACUGGAAUAUGUUAUUAACCAUAGCACACUACUGUUACAAAAAAAA